rnacentral:rRNA from 1 species
CACGGAGUUAGCCGGUGCUUCUUCUGCGGGUAACGUCAAUUGCUGUGGUUAUUAACCACAGCACCUUCCUCCCCGCUGAAAGUACUUUACAACCCGAAGGCCUUCUUCAUACACGCGGCAUGGCUGCAUCAGGCUUGCGCCCAUUGUGCAAUAUUCCCA